UACAUCAAUAAAAAUGAAACGGAAGUUAGUCAUGAAGAAAAGAAGAGGCAAAAAAAAAUGGAGAUCUGCAAGAAAAGUGGUUGUUCUCCACUUUGUGUUUUUGGCCAAAAAAGAAAGAUGAAACAACUAUGUUCUUUCUUUUGGAGGAGGGUGUUGUUGGCAUAUGGAUGAAAUAAAACAAAACCAAAAAAAGAUAAAGCAACAUGUUGGUUUUUGUUCCAUGGGCUCGGUGAGGCAACAAACAAAGGUUAAAAAAAAAAGGGACAGCCGUCAUAAAGGAGAGGAAGAAAAGUUUAACAAGGAAAUCAAAAGAAACAAAGAAGGAAGUGGCGUGGCCACUCUGUUUGAAUCUGCAUGCAAUGGACAAAAAAAAAGCAACAAGGAAUUGAAGGCCUUGGCUUAGUGCUUCAUACAGCAGCAACAGACAAAAAAAAGAAAAAAGAAAAAGAAGAAGAAGAUAGCCACCACGAAGAAAAGGAAAAGUCAACAAAAGAUGGAAAAAGAGGAGGCACACCUCUUUGGGUGUUGGACUCGGUUUUU
rnacentral:lncRNA from 1 species